rnacentral:ncRNA from 2 species
AAGUAAAUAGGCGAUGGUGUUCGCCCUUAACUAUCAUAGUAAGUUUAUGAUUAAUGACGCCUACUUAAGA